rnacentral:rRNA from 1 species
CGCUGGCGGCAGGCCUAACACAUGCAAGUCGAGCGAACCCUUCGGGGUUAGCGGCGGACGGGUUAGUAACGCGUGGGAAUAUACCCUUUGGUACGGAAUAGCCUCGGGAAACUGAGAGUAAUACCGUAUGUGCCCUUCAAGGGAAAGAUUUAUCGCCAAAGGAUUAGCCCGCGUUGGAUUAGGUAGUUGGUGGGGUAAUGGCCUACCAAGCCUACGAUCCAUAGCUGGUUUGAGAGGAUGAUCAGCAACACUGGGACUGAGACACGGCCCAGACUCCUACGGGAGGCAGCAGUGGGGAAUCUUAGACAAUGGGCGCAAGCCUGAUCUAGCCAUGCCGCGUGGACGAUGAAGGCUUUAGGGUUGUAAAGUCCUUUCAGAUGGGAAGAUAAUGACGGUACCAUCAGAAGAAGCCCCGGCUAACUCCGUG